rnacentral:rRNA from 1 species
CUCGUACCUCCGUCGUGUCGUCGUCGAGUACGUCAGAGAGUUUGUACUCCUGGCUCACGGACGAACGCUGGCGGCGUGCUUAACACAUGCAAGUCGAACGGAAAGGCCGCGUUGCGGGUACUCGAGUGGCGAACGGGUGAGUAACACGUGGGCAACCUGCCCUCAGCUUUGGGAUAACUCCCGGAAACGGGUGCUAAUACCGGAUAUUGACUUUGCCUCGCAUGGGGUUGGUUGAAAGUUUUUCGGCUGAGGAUGGGCCCGCGGCCUAUCAGCUUGUUGGUGGGGUAAUGGCCUACCAAGGCGACGACGGGUAGCCGGCCUGAGAGGGCGACCGGCCACACUGGAACUGAGACACGGUCCAGACUCCUACGGGAGGCAGCAGUGGGGAAUAUUGCGCAAUGGGCGAAAGCCUGACGCAGCGACGCCGCGUGAGGGAUGACGGCCUUCGGGUUGUAAACCUCUUUCAGCAGGGACGAAGAGUGAUUGACGGUACCUGCAGAAGAAGCACCGGCCAACUACGUG